GACAAAGCAGGCAACAGCCCAGAGCAUGCACUCAUUAGCUUCUGUCUGCCAACAAGUUGGGAGCAUGCAAUGUUCUAUGAGAUGUCUGGCUGUUAUAAAAGGCUUUGGUUAAGUAAUCACACUUCUCUUGCAUAAGUGCUUGUUUUUGGGAGGCUUUAGCCAAUUGGAGGCUGCAGCAGCACGCAGAGAGAAAGUAUGUCUGACUUCUGUGAGGUGUUUUUUUAAAUAAUAAUAAGUGAUUAAUAAUCUGCUGAGAGCUGUAUGAAAUCUCUUUAGAUAAGGUUAGGAGGCGGAGAUUCCCCAGCGCUGCUUAUAGCUGAACCACAGCUGUAAAACUCUGCCAUAAAGCCUGUGUGGAUUCCUAGUAAGAUGGAUGCUCUACAUAAGUUGAAGAUCUUGGUGAUGUUUCUGUCUCUGGCUACUUUCAUGAUCAUGGUGAUAAUGAAUGCUGGAAAUGCCACUGGGACUUUCAAAGGUCUGUUCAGGACAACCCCUGGAAACAUCUCAGCCAAGUACAGCACAGAUUUCACACCAGCUGG
rnacentral:lncRNA from 1 species